rnacentral:rRNA from 1 species
AGUGAACGCUGGCGGUAGGCCUAACACAUGCAAGUCGAACGGCAGCACAGUAAGAGCUUGCUCUUACGGGUGGCGAGUGGCGGACGGGUGAGGAAUACAUCGGAAUCUACUUUUUCGUGGGGGAUAACGUAGGGAAACUUACGCUAAUACCGCAUACGACCUACGGGUGAAAGCAGGGGAUCUUCGGACCUUGCGCGAUUGAAUGAGCCGAUGUCGGAUUAGCUAGUUGGCGGGGUAAAGGCCCACCAAGGCGACGAUCCGUAGCUGGUCUGAGAGGAUGAUCAGCCACACUGGAACUGAGACACGGUCCAGACUCCUACGGGAGGCAGCAGUGGGGAAUAUUGGACAAUGGGCGCAAGCCUGAUCCAGCCAUACCGCGUGGGUGAAGAAGGCCUUCGGGUCGUAAAGCCCUUUCGUUGGGAAAGAAAAGCAGCAGGUUAAUACCCCGCUGUUCUGACGGUACCCAAAGAAUAAGCACCGGCUAACUUCGUG